UGAUAAGUGUCGGGAAGUAGUGUUUUAAAGGAAUCGAGUACCAAAACAUCAAGCAAGAGUCAAAAACAACAAAAAAGUGAAAAAGGCAUUUCGCCUGGCGACCCAAUGGCGAGCAACUCCAGGGAGCUCCAUGGUCCUUUGCCACAAGGAUGGCCAGGGCGAAUUAUUUCGCCUGGCGAAGUAAUGGCGAGAUGAAUGGCGAGAAGUUCCAGGGAGCUAGAAAAACAGGGCAAGAGCAAUUCGCCAUGGCGAGAAAUAUUCUCGCCUGGCGAAAUAAGGCGGUUUCAUCUGAUCUGGUGACGUGGCAGAAACCCACUGGCAAAGAAAGCUCAGUUCGCCAUGGCGAGCCAGGUUUCGCCUGGCGAAAGUACAUUUUGUCAGCUCAAGUAUAAAAGCUCACUUCUCUCAAUUGAGACAUAUCUUGUAUCUUAUUUAGAGAGAGAAUAGGGCGAAAAUACACUGUGUAUACUGGGCAAUAGUGAUUGAGUGUGGAUUCAUCAAGAUUCUUGGAGAAAUCAAGUUCCUUGCAUGGAUUCUCAACUUUUCUUCCACUUUUGUAAUGUUCUCAUGACAAUGAUGAACUAAAUCUCUUUAGUUGGGAUUAGAGGUACUUGAUUGAGCUUAGAAUGUAAUCUUUUAAUCUUGUAAUAUAUGAUUCUAGCAAUUUACAUGAUAUUGAAGUUAUUCUUGCAAUUCA